CACCCGCUUGCCAGGCUUCCGCCCACGCUGAGACUGAAGUCCCCAGGCAGCGACACUCCCGCACAGCCUUCUUCCUUCGUGGCCUCUCUCCUGCCUCUCCUUCCUCCCUGCAAGCUUUUACCUUUCAAGCUUUCCAGCCCGCAGAAUCACAGGAUCAGCAGGACUCCGUGGGAGACUCCUGUAAAGGCAACCUGGGAGCCUGAAGUUAGAUUCUUAUCAUGAGCGUUGUAUCUACUUGGGACAGAGAAAGAUUGGAGAUGGAGAUUCUGAAAGGGUUGCCAAGGAGCUCCUACCCACAGGCCGAGUCUCCGCACGGAGCAUGGUGGAAGCCAGGGACGAUUUCUCAAAUGGGGCUUUUGUUCCUCAGGAGCUUACAACUCACAUGGGAAUAUAAAAUUAAUAGAUGCAUGAAGUGACUUUUGACCAACACCACCUGAGGUUGGAGAGUGGCUCACACUGCCAUACCUACCAGAGGACCACUUGGGACUUUCCUGGAAGGAAACCUGUGAAUUCACCAGACGCAGCCCUUCCUGACCAGAUGCUGACUUGCACCGUCUAUUUCUGUACCGAUUCACGGACACAGUGCUUGAACUCAUCACAGCACCGAGUGUAGAGCAAUCCAAGAAGGGAUGAAGGACCGAGUGAGUGAAGUCACAGCAUUUCCAGCAUGCAGCUCGUUCCUUUCCCCCUACCUCUGUAGCGUGCGCCUGGGCUACUGCCUCUGCCUGGCCUACAGAGGCAAAACACCUUCCAGAUGCAGGGUGAAGGUCACCUCGCCAGCGACACAGGCCUUCCCCACAGUCCUCUGCGCCCUCGCUGUGCUGCUUGAUACAACCCCUUACUCAGGCCCCUCCACUGAACAGCACUGCCCUGGACAAUUUAAUGAAGUACUCCUGGG